AAUGAACGUUGGCGGCAGGCCUAACACAUGCAAGUCGAACGGAUCCUUCGGGAUUAGUGGCGGACGGGCGAGUAACGCGUGGGAACAUACCCUUUGGUACGGAAUAGCCUCGGGAAACUGGGAGUAAUACCGUAUGUGGUCGAGAGACGAAAGAUUUAUCGCCAAAGGAUUGGCCCGCGUUGGAUUAGGUAGUUGGUGGGGUAAUGGCCUACCAAGCCGACGAUCCAUAGCUGGUUUGAGAGGAUGAUCAGCCACACUGGGACUGAGACACGGCCCAGACUCCUACGGGAGGCAGCAGUGGGGAAUCUUAGACAAUGGGGGAAACCCUGAUCUAGCCAUGCCGCGUGAUCGAUGAAGGCCUUAGGGUUGUAAAGAUCUUUCAGGUGGGAAGAUAAUGACUGUACCACCAGAAGAAGCCCCGGCUAACUCCGUGCCAGCCGCCGCCGUAAAAC
rnacentral:rRNA from 1 species